GCGUGGGCUUUAACAUGCCAAGUUCGAACGGGACUCGAUUGAGUUCAGUGGCGGACGGGUGAGUAACGCGUGAGAAUUUGCCUAGAGGUUGGGGACAACCACUGGAAACGGUGGCUAAGACCCAAUGUGCCGCAACGUGAAAGAUUUAUCGCCUCUAGAUGAGCUCGCGUCUGAUUAGCUAGUUGGUGAGGUAAAAGCUCACCAAGGCGACGAUCAGUAGCUGGUCUGAGAGGAUGACCAGCCACACUGGGACUGAGACACGGCCCAGACUCCUACGGGAGGCAGCAGUGGGGAAUUUUCCGCAAUGGGCGAAAGCCUGACGGAGCAAGACCGCGUGAGGGAGGAAGGCUCUUGGGUGGAGAACCUCUUUUGAUAGGGAAGAAGUUCUGACGGUACCUAUCGAAUCAGCAUCGGCUAACUCCGUGCCAGCAGCCGCGGUA
rnacentral:rRNA from 1 species